AACGAACGCUGGCGGCAUGCCUAACACAUGCAAGUCGAACGAGACCUUCGGGUCUAUUGUCGCACGGGUUCGUAACGCGUGGGAACCUUCCCUUAGGUUCGGAAUAACUCCCCUUAAGGUGUGCUAAUACCGGUUAUUUUCUUCUGACCAAAGAUUUAUCGCCUUUGGUUGGUCCCGCGUUUGAUUAGCUUGUUGGUAGGGUAAAAGCCUACCAAGGCGACGAUCCAUAGAUGGUCUGAGAGGAUGAUAAGCCACACUGGGACUGAGACACGGCCCAGAAUCGUACGGGAAGCAGCAGUGGGGAAUAUUGGAAAAUGGGCGAAAGCAUGAAGCAGCAAUGCCGCGUGAGUGAUGAAGGCCUUAGGGUAGUAAAGCUCUUUUAACAGGGAAGAUAAUGACAGUACCGGGAGAAUAAGCACCGGCUAACUCCGUG
rnacentral:rRNA from 1 species